CACGUAGGGCGCAAGCGUUGUCCGGAAUUAUUGGGCGUAAAGAGCUCGUAGGCGGUCUGUUGCGUCCGCUGUGAAAACUCGGGCUUACCCCGAGCCUGCAGUGGAUACGGGCAGACUAGAGGUAGGUAGGGGAGAAUGGAAUUCCCGGUGUAGCGGUGAAAUGCGCAGAUAUCGGGAGGAACACCGGUGGCGAAGGCGGUUCUCUGGGCCUUACCUGACGCUGAGGAGCGAAGCGU
rnacentral:rRNA from 1 species